GACGAACGCUGGCGGCGUGCUUAACACAUGCAAGUCGAACGGUGAAGCGCCUUCCUUUUUGGUGGGUGUGGAUGAGUGGCGAACGGGUGAGUAACACGUGAGUAACCUGCCCCCUUCUUCUGGAUAACCGCAUGAAAGUGUGGCUAAUACGGGAUAUUCUGGGUCUGUCGCAUGAUGGGUCUGGGAAAGAUAUUGUUUCGGUGGGGGAUGGGCUCGCGGCCUAUCAGCUUGUUGGUGGGGUGAUGGCCUACCAAGGCGGUGACGGGUAGCCGGCCUGAGAGGGUGGACGGUCACACUGGGACGGAGACACGGACCAGACUACGACGGGAGGCAGCAGUGAGGAAUAUUGCACAAUGGGAGCAAGCCUGAUGCAGCGACGCCGCGGGAGGGAUGGAGGCCUUCGGGUUGUGAACCUCUUUCGGCAGUGAAGCAGGCCUGCCUCGUUUGUGGGUGGGUUGACGGUAGCUGGAUAAGAAGCGCCGGCUAACUACGUG
rnacentral:rRNA from 1 species